GCAUAUGCAGGCUGAACAAGAGGUCACAGAAUAUGCAGGCUGUCUUGCUCUUGGUUCAAUAUGCAUGUAACUUGGCAUGAUUUUCUACCAGAGAAUUGUUUAUGAACUCCAAGCUGUCAUGUCACAUGUCAAAAUAAGGGGGCAGCUCUGCAGAGAUUUAUCCUAAGACUAUUCGCUAGCAACGGGACAGCUGGCUGGAUCCUUACCUUUCUGGGUCACACUUCAAGGCCACAGUUUGAUUACUGACACCUCAGUCACCACAAAUAUAGGCAGAAACAUAUCCUUAUGUCAGCAGCACCUUAGAAUUUGUCACCCUGGUCAACCCACCCGUCUUACAGCACUACUCCCACAGUAUAGCAAGGAGCAAGGAACCUUGUCUGCAAUAAUUUCAACUACACAGGUAACACCCUGACUGAAGACUAACUAGGAGAUGGCAGUUCAGCCCCAUCAAGCGGUCUCUAUCCCCAGGCACUUAAAGAAACAUUCUCUGGAUUGUCAACCUGACCCAAAGAAGAUGGUUCUCCCAUGCCCAUAACUGACAUUGGAAUAGCUGAAGAGGGUGUGGCUGCCCCCCCCCCCCCCCCUCUGGUCCAUGGUGGCUGAAUGGACUAUACCAGAGAAACCCUGAGAAGAAAAUGAGUUGUCUGAGGAACGAUAGAUGAUCACUACAGGUUCACUCACCAAUGGGUGAAGCACUGACUGAGCCUGAAGAACUGGUAAUGACUUUUUAUUGUGUUGUUUCUUCAUUUUAGAUACGGAAUCACAGACGGAGAAGCUCCAUCAGGAUUAGAGUAAGUGUCUAUGUUACAGCUGAGGACAAGGAUGGAAUGCCAGUACGUAGUGCUGGAAUGAGUCAGUAGAAAACAAGUUGUCACAGUUUUUUUGUAAAAAAGCAGCAUAUACAUGCUUAAAUUUUAAUCACAAGGCAUUGUGAGGUAAUUGUAACAAAAAAUUAAAAUAGCAAAAUCCCUGUCAGAAAUAAUGCAGUUAUCUACAAUGCAAACUAAUAGCAAAGAUAACAGGUAAAUAGUCACAAAGUGUACACAAGCACUAAAUCCAUUCAAAAUCUUUUCUGUCCAUUUAAAAUACUUCUCAACCUUUUAAUUCUCACAAAUCAAAUAAAUAUGUACCUAAACAGUGCACUUUUGACACAAAAUAGCCUCUAAAUCACAAAUAAGCCCUCAGUUAAAAACAGCAGUCCCUGAUAGGAAACUUCUGAUAUUGUGAAAAAAAUACUGGGUUUCUUAAAGGAGAAA